rnacentral:rRNA from 1 species
AUUGAACGCUGGCGGCAUGCCUUACACAUGCAAGUCGAACGGUAACGCGGGGCAACCUGGCGACGAGUGGCGAACGGGUGAGUAAUGCAUCGGAACGUGCCCAGUAGUGGGGGAUAGCCCGGCGAAAGCCGGAUUAAUACCGCAUACGACCUAAGGGUGAAAGGGGGGGAUCGCAAGACCUCUCGCUAUUGGAGCGGCCGAUGUCAGAUUAGGUAGUUGGUGGGGUAAAGGCCUACCAAGCCGACGAUCUGUAGCUGGUCUGAGAGGACGACCAGCCAGACUGGGACUGAGACACGGCCCAGACUCCUACGGGAGGCAGCAGUGGGGAAUUUUGGACAAUGGACGCAAGUCUGAUCCAGCCAUGCCGCGUGCGGGAAGAAGGCCUUCGGGUUGUAAACCGCUUUUGUCAGGGAAGAAAUCUUCUGGGUUAAUACCUCGGGAGGAUGACGGUACCUGAAGAAUAAGCACCGGCUAACUACGUGCCAGCAGCCGCAGUAA